UACGAAGGGGGCUAGCGUUGCUCGGAAUCACUGGGCGUAAAGGGCGCGUAGGCGGCGUUUUAAGUCAGGGGUGAAAUCCUGGAGCUCAACUCCAGAACUGCCUUUGAUACUGAAGAUCUUGAGUUCGGGAGAGGUGAGUGGAACUGCGAGUGUAGAGGUGAAAUUCGUAGAUAUUCGCAAGAACACCAGUGGCGAAGGCGGCUCACUGGCCCGAUACUGACGCUGAGGCACGAAAGCGUGGGGAGCAAACAGG
rnacentral:rRNA from 1 species